rnacentral:lncRNA from 1 species
CAUAGUAGUGACGAUGUCGAGCCUGCGACGGGUCCAUACCAGGCCAACGCUUACCGUCAAUGGUCUUUGGUUCCGUCUAAUUAUCCAGUGAUGGCUCCCUGCUGAAUCCAGCGAUGGAUUCGUUCGUGCCGUCGACCUAGUCACAUUAAAUCUUUUUACGGAGAACCGCACCGUACCGAAGGCGAAUAGAGGAAAGAAUCGUUGUGUCGUCUGCCGGGUGUGGAUCUUGUUGGGUUCGUUGACUGUUGUUAGAAAUGGUUAUUCAUUGCGGUCGGUCAAGAAGCUUGACAAAGGUUCAUCCGCCAUUGUCUCCUCUACUAGUUUCGGCCUAGAAAAAGAAUUGUUUGAAGGUAGUAAGUGUUAUCGCUUACCUUCUAAUGGUUUCACAAACCAUGCUGCGGACGGCUACAGAGCGGAGGUUAAACGGACCACAAACUCGCUAAGCGACAGCGGCGUGGUCGAAACCUCUCUGUGUGGCUAGAAGUGACUUGAUUGACUGCUUUGCAUACAUCAAAAACUCAAGAAAAUUAAUAAGAAAAAAAAAGUCAAUACGCACUUUGUUGCUUGCACGACUGACAAGAGAAUCAUUGAACGAUCUUGCAUAAAGAUCGUCACUGACGCUGAGAUGUUAACCUUUUAGGGUAUCGUAACUCAACUCGUUCCUCCGAGCAUCGAAAUUGGCAAAAAAAAGCUUCGGACUCGCAAAAAGCGACGCAGUGAGUGAUAUUGCUACAUGGCAGUACCACAUCGUAUGACUUUGAUGAGUUCUUCAAUGGAAAUGAAUCCGCCUAACGGACAGCCUGCGCAUUACUCCAUUUUGGUCAAUGUGUCGUGCUCAGAAAGGCAAACACUUUUAGAACAGAGGCCCAAGUCAGCAAAUCGAACACUUUCAAGGUCGAAGCCUUUUUCUUCGUGGAAUAGGGGCGAAAGUCUAAGAUAUGUUUACCUGUACGAAAGUUUCAGUCAGUUGGUUAACCUAUCUUGGGUGCCCUUAAGCCCUGCGAGCUCGGCAGUGAACGUUGACACCGCUGUAGAAGAAGGGGACAGCGGCUUGGAUAUUGUUUUGGAUUUGUUUACAAGCAGAUGUACCCUCCGACGUUACUUCCUAUUCGUCACUUCCUGUCCUGUGCAUUUUCACAAAGGUCACGAAAACAUAGAAAAAAGGAAUAAGAUACAAAAAUAGCUAACGAAAACAACAAAGUCCUGCUCUGAUUCGAGUCUGACACGAGGAGCUGCACCCAAAUAAAGGUAACCAUAGUGCAUCCAGAUAUGCGCCUGAACGGCUAUUACCUCCAGUGUUUCUGCUAUUGCCUAUUCGCAUCCUUGGCCAACAUGUAAGCUUAACGUAAACUCUAAACUACGUUCUAUUCAGAUAAUGCAUCAAAAGUGCGCUACAUGCAGAACUUUCUACGGCAACUUCCUGUGUGUUUCCGCCUUUUGGAUGUCGUCACUAACUAGAUGCUUAGUAGCCAGCUUCCGCUUUGUGCCCGACUUUGGUCUCUUGUUGCCGAGGGAAGAUUCAAAUCCUCUAGUACACAGAAGCCGUGUUCCUUAUCUCAAAUGGUGUAUAUUAUGUAAGGAAUAAACGAUAUAACAUUAUCAUA